GGGGUCCUGCCGCCAGGCGGCCGACGGACACGCUCAUCCCGGCGCCGCCCGCCCCCGGGCCUGCCCGUCGAGCGCUGACCCAGCGGGAAGAGCUCCAGCGAGGGCGCGCGCGGGCCUGGGUUCGGAUCCCCGUCCUGCCGUUUUCUUGGGGGGUAGCCCGUGUGCCGGUGGAGGGGGAGCCUGCGCCAGGAUUACCGCGGCCGGCGACGAGCAAUGCCCUUAUGUGAAUUCAGCUGAUGCUAAACCGUCAAAAUGACAGAAAUCCUUAAUGGCAAUUGGAAAUUCACAAACUAUUAACAGAAUCCAGUCCCAGUUGACUCAGUCCAUGAGAGUUCGGCCCUGCUUGCGGGUAUUUGUCUUGACCACCUACCAUUUUAGCAAAAAAAGAGGGGGAGAAGAUUUGGCUCUUUGCACUAACUGCUGCUCUACAAAUAACACAAAAUCUACAGGCUUCCAACUCUACUUCAGCCACUGGAGAUACAAAGAUGACAAAAACUAUCUGGACAAUCUACCCAGAAGUCAGAUUUAUAAAUCUCAGUGAUGGUAGUAAAAUAGAGAUGAUGUACCAGAUUGCUAGCCUGGGAUACAGAAAGAUGAAGGAACUCUGCCUUUGGUAGCUGGGCCUCAGUAAACUUUCUCUCACCCCUCUCUGGGAAGGCAGCAAAAGAGGAGGGUCUAUGUAAUUUUUGUACAUGUUCUUCAAGAACUAUGCACUUGUUAUCCUACCUGCUUUACGUGUUACUACAGGUCCUUUUAGGCAGUAUGAUUUUUAGCCAUUUUGAUGAGGGUUUCCCUACUCAUAGUUCAGCAUAACUACAUGUUUUUUACAUUUGAUUUCUUUUCUCUACUCCUUCUGUAAAGAUACAUGGUUUUUAAACCAGCACUUAUAAAACUCACUCUGUUCCCUCCUUAUGAAAAAUGGUAUUUAAACAAA